UACGAGGGGUGCAAGCGUUGCUCGGAAUUAUUGGGCGUAAAGGGGAGGUAGGUGGUCUCAUUUGUCUGAUGUGAAAGCCUUGGGCUUAACCCAAGAAGUGCGUCAGAAACGGUGAGACUAGGGUCUUGGAGAGGGUCGUGGAAUUCCCGGUGUAGCGGUGAAAUGCGUAGAGAUCGGGAGGAACACCUGUGGCGAAAGCGGCUCACUGGACCACAACUGACGCUGAGGCGCGAAAGCUAGGGGAGCAAACAGG
rnacentral:rRNA from 1 species